AGCACGCUUGUACGCUGCAUCGUGUGGUCGUAGCGUGCUAUAUUUAUCGUUUCCUAUUUUAUUUACUUACGAUAUCUUUUUUUUUUACGGCAUUUGUUGUCGAUUUGCCUCUGAUGCCUAUCAGAAGCAAAUGAAAAGGGCAGGACUAAGACGAGCAGCGCGUUCAUUUGGAAGACACCGAAGAAUUGAUUCAUGAAUGCAAAUAAUUGACAGCACGCUGGAGUGAACAACCAUCUGAAACCAAGAAAUAAACUCAGAAGCUCCGGCGAAAGGGAAACCUAGCAGGUUUCUUCCGAGAGAGGCCGUGCAGAGGUUGAGAACCAGAAUAUGGCUCCUGAACACAAGAAGGUGGCUGUGCACGAACGUGGCGAAC